CUAGUCUAUUGUGCCAUAGAUCAGCAUGCUUAUUAUCCCUUUUCAGAAGUGGUGUAUAAGAACGCUUCAGCAAUGUCCUUCGAAAUGGAGUUAAGAAUCCAGGUAAUGACCAUACAGUCUGUUUUCCUCCAUUGUUUGAUUUCAGUUUUGUCCUACUCUGGUUUGGGACAUGUUCCAUCUAUGAAUCCUUCUUUUCCUCUAGCACCAAGGACAAAUCUGAUUGAUCUGACCCAGGUGAAAUAGUUGCUUCCAUCUAAAGGGGUUGUCACCAAGCUUAUGGUGAAUUCAAGAACUAGAGGAAGCCAUUAAAGAAACGAAUUGGGCGAGUAUCAAAACAGGAACCAAGAACUCUCUUUAUUUUAUUGAAUAUCUGAAAAUUUAAGUUGCAGAACACAGGGUCUCCAAACCCUCUUAUAUACAAAGGAAAUAAACUAACUUCUCAACUAACCAAUAAGAAGGAGUCAAACGGAUACAAGAAAAUGUAAAUGGAAAAUUGCGACUUUAUAAGUGUUAGGCGUUUUUCACUGCAGAAGCUCCUUCUUCAGUUUUGCUCUGUUUCUUCUACCAGACAUCAGCUGGCAGACCUCCAUUAAUCUAACUCAAAUCUCUCGAACUUCAGCA